UACGAGAGCCUCGAGCGUUAUCCGGAAUUAUUGGGCGUAAAGGGUGCGUAGGUUGUUCUGUUAGUCUUUUGUCAAAUCCCCGAGCUUAACUUGGGAGUCGCGAGAGAAACGGCAGAACUUGAAAGUGCGAGAGGCGUACGGAACUCAUGGUGUAGGGGUGAAAUCCGUUGAUAUCAUGGGGAACACCAAAAGCGAAGGCAGUACGCUGGCGCAUAUUUGACACUGAAGCACGAAAGCGUGGGUAGCGAAUGGG
rnacentral:rRNA from 1 species